UGUCACAUUAGCUGCUCGUUUGUUCAUAAUUUCGAACCCAUCUAAAGAUAAUUUUCAACGACUUUGAGGUAAUUUUGAGUGAUUAAUGGCUGUGGAUUUUGAAAAUGUGUUUCUUUUGUUGGGUGUCCGACAUACGAAGAAAAAAAGAAAUUGAAGAAAUUUCUAAAUUUAAAACCACGUGAGAAUAACUGGCGAGGCUACGGCAGCUUCUUCUGGAUACUCAUCCGUGCUGUUCGGCACAAUUAAAUGUAAGUUAUUCUGACUGCAUCUCCUACCGCUCCUACUUAACAGCUACAAGAAAUGAGCUGUAGGAACACCUACACAAGAUUUGAGGUGGACCGUGGAGGUAUCUUUUGGCUGUCGGUAGGUGGCUAAAAUCAUGUCCCGCAGCCACCAGGUGACGCGAGUGUCUUUGUGAGGACGAAAUUUUCGCCAUUGUUUCCCGAGACGCUGACUGAAAGUGUAUUCCAAAUUCAUUACGGAAUUGCGGUGUCAAUUGACAUUUUCAUUCAUGAAAUUAAAUGGGCUAUCUGGCAUAAAAUUUCCACUUGGCCAAAUGAUCUGACAUACUGCCUGAUUCUGGUCAUUCACGAGGUGAAACUGCUGUCCAUUUUGCCGAAAUGUCGUCCAUUGUUAGCUAUACCUGUACGGCUGUACGUGUCUCAUCUCGUGCAGAAACCCUUCAUAUGCUGUUGAUGUACAGGUUGGAGAUCCCUUUGGUUAACUGUUGCAGAAUUUGCGAACACGACAAAGUCUGAGCUUCGUGGAUGUCUAUCAUUAACAUGAUUUUAUUGCAGCCAGCUGGUGAAAGGUGUGUGAGUUGAGAUGAGCUGCCAUUGCUGCAUCCAGUUUAUCGAGCUGGUGUUAUCCCGAAGUGUCACUGCAGGAAGACUUUAAAUUGGACUUGGUGAUACUUCAACUGUGCUGUUGCUGUUCAAUGUGCAGUGGUUUUGCAGCCUGUUUCCAGUUGAGAGAUGUAAUUUAUGCAGGAUUGAAGAAAAAGAACUGAAGUAGCUGUCACAUCCGGGUUGCUGUCUUGAAAUCAUUUUAUUUUUGUUUUUUGCUCUGCCAUUUAUUUCUUGUGUUGAGUACUUGAAAAUGGUUCAUCUGUCGUCUUUUGCGUUUUCACUUCUGAGUAUACCAUCUGCAGUAUACGACUGUGGCAAACUGAUCAUAUGUCAGUUUUGAUACAGUCGACAACUGCUAGAUUAAAUUCCGGCUUUCUGCACCAACAAAAUAAUAACGGCACAUGUUAUUAUCGCGGUUGGGAAAGUCACAGGCCCCCCCCUCCCUGGGGGCCAAAAAUUAUAUAUGUGGUUGUGUUAAAAUAAAUAAACAAAUUAAAUAAA